GUGAACUCUCCCGUCUUAGUUUGUUCUUCCUGAACCCUCAGUUCUGUGUCCAAACUCCAGGAGUCUGCUGGGCUCCCCUGGAUUCCGCCUCCCUGAGCCAUGUCCUGAGAACGUCUUCAAGGCAGUAAGCAGACUGAGGCCACAAGCCCUCCCCAGUGACACAGGCUAACACGUGCGGAGCCUUGGAUGACAAGGAAACUUGCUCUCGUGGAGACAGCAGAGAUGCCUCAGUCAACAGCAGGGAGGCAGGACACGCACAUUCUGACGGCACACCCUUCCCCGAUCUGCACCAGAUGAAACGCAGAGAAACUCCAGUAACUUCCAAAACGAUAGCUAACCAGGAACCAAGGAUUACCGCUACACCCGGCCCACCCGAAUACACCCUGAAUUCCCUCUGUGCAGAUCCCAGGACUUCUACGUUCUAUUUCUGGCAUUCUGGGAUUCAGCCCGUUGACAAACCUGCCCCAGGCCAGGCCCAGCCAGGCAGGUCCUGAGAACAGGGUGCCACUGUGCCUGCGGGCAGCCCGCCGUCAGCUGGGAGGGAUGGAGAAGCAGCAACUGCACCGGACAUCUGCCAGGCAGUGUCGACGGCCACAGGGCACGGGGGCCAGCCAGACGUUAUGAGACAGAAUCAGCACCCUGUUUAUUUGAAGCCACCUUUUCUCUCUAAAGGAUAACCAAUUUGGUCUAAGUUUCUUAGAUGAUAGAGUAAAAGGUGAAAACCCC
rnacentral:lncRNA from 1 species